GUAGCAUCUGCCUGCACAAGCGGUGGAUGCAGUUUCGGGACCGCAGUCAUAGGACCGCAGUUAUAGGACCCUAGGUUUUUAGUGACAACGCCACCUAGCGAACUAGAGGACCAACAAAGAUGGAUGACAAGCAGAGUUGAAGUGGAGGAAUUUAAUCGAAUCAUAGACAAACAAUUGAAAAAAAGAGGGGAGAGCAUCCAGUUGCUGCUGCAUACAUCACAAUGUGUGCUUUAAAUAUUUAAUAUUUAUAUUUAUCUAUCUCUCUCUAUUAUUAUUUUUUAUCUGCUCAGAUGUGCUUUAUUGACAUGAAUGUUUCAAGAACCUUUGAUCCUGUAAUGAACACUAUGCAAUACUAAUAUGAACAUUACUUGGAGUCAGUGAAGACGUUGUCCAUGCAGUUCUUAUGUUGUUCACAUCAUUAAUAAAUUUGGGUAACACUUUACAAUAAGGUUAAUUAGUUAACAUUAGUUAACUACAUUAAUUGCAUGGACUAAUAAUAAACUGCACUUAUACAGCAUUUAUUAAUAUUUGUUAAUUUUAAUUUCAACAAUUAGUAAUACUUGAUAGUUGGUUAAUGAAUUGUGAACUAACAUGAAAAAACAAUUAAACGCUUUAUUUAGCUUAAUUAAAGAUUAAGGUUAAUAAAUACUGUAACAAAUGUUUUGCUUAUGGUUUGUUCAUGUCAGUUAAUACAUUAACUAAUGUUAACUAAUUAACCUUAUUGUAAAGUGUUACACUAUUUUUUUGUGUGUGUUAAAAUUCAACUGUUGCAAUAUAUAAUUUUAUAAAUACAAAAAUUUUAAAUCUACCCCAGAGUCAUCCUUGUGUAUUCCCUCUGUUCUUGAAUAUGUGAUUGACUAAAAAGGCUAAAGUACACGAUUCCUUGUUUAUUUUACUUGAUGAGUUAUUAAAUAAUGCAACGUAGAGCCAAUAAUUACUUAACAUUCCUAAAAAUCAGAUUUAAUUUAAAUAAAGAAAGCAGUAUUUGGGUGUAAUAAACCUUUAAAAACAUCUAAAACUUUAAAAGUAGUUUAAAUUGGGUGAAAAUAUGCAUUUGUGGCACUUUUUUCGAGUAGCAUCUGCCUGCACCACCAGAGGCUACAGUUUCGCUAGAUGGCGCUGUUAAAAAAAACGAGGGUCCUAAAACUGCGGUCCUGAAACUGCGGUCCUGAA